CCUGAAGCUGGACUGAAGAUCUAAGGAGAAGAGCUUUUCUAUCCCAAGGGUUCCUGUGACUCCUAGGGAUCCCCCCAUUGCACUAUAAAUCUGCAUUGCUGUAACUACUUACGAAGGCAGCAUCCCAGGACAGCAAAGCUCUGGGAACGAGCUGGACCUGACUGGGAGGAGGAGUUCUCUGUGCCAGGGCAGCCACAUGGCUGAGCUUGUCAUUUAACAGCCCUCAGCUUCACUGGACGGACCUCCAGGGCACGUGUGAACGCUUCUUCAGCUCCAUGUGGUUUCGUUUUAGUGACGAAUUUCGGCAUUCUAUGAAGUAGAUGGAAGAAGAACUGAAAAGGGAGACGAGGUAUUGAACCUGACAUUUAAAGGUUCAAACCUUCAAUGCACUGAGCACGUAUUCUAAAGAAAACAGUCAUGGAAUUUGCUUGUCUUGUAUCCUGAAUUCCUCCUUGACACUAAGCUGCCUUACUGCAGCAUGAUGUAGUUUAAAUGUGAUUUAUUAUUGCACCCAGAGCAGGUAACACUCUGCUCUAAUGCUCUGUGUUGAGCAAAGCAACAAGAGGCUAUUUGGAAACAUUUAGCCAUGUGCUCCUGAGGAAAAAAAAAAAGACUCUCUUCCUCUCUGUCUAAUCAUCCUGCUGAUCACAAUACUAUCUUAAGGAAAAAGGAAUAUUGUACAAGUUACCAUAAAGUUUUAUGAGCCAAUUAUUACAGAUAUAAUUGUCCAAGGUUAUAGAGGUCUAUAGAUGUCUUAUUUUCCGUAGGCUGGG